UCCAGGGUAGCCUAGUGGACAUGGCAUCUGCCCAGUAAGCGGAACACUGUGGGUUUGAUUCCCAUCCCUGAAC